UACGUAGGGUGCAGGCGUUAAUCGGAAUUACUGGGCGUAAAGCGUGCGCAGGCGGUUUGCUAAGACAGGUGUGAAAUCCCCGGGCUUAACCUGGGAAUGGCAUUGGAAACUGGCGGGCUUGAGUGCGGCAGAGGGGGGUGGAAUUCCGCGUGUAGCAGUGAAAUGCGUAGAGAUGCGGAGGAACACCGAUGGCGAAGGCAGCCCCCUGGGUCGACACUGACGCUCAGGCACGAAAGCGUGGGGAGCAAACAGG
rnacentral:rRNA from 1 species